rnacentral:rRNA from 1 species
UACGUAGGGUGCGAGCGUUAAUCGGAAUUACUGGGCGUAAAGCGUGCGCAGGCGGUGAUGUAAGACAGGUGUGAAAUCCCCGGGCUUAACCUGGGAACGUGCAUUUGUGACUGCAUCGCUGGAGUGCGGCAGAGGGGGAUGGAAUUCCGCGUGUAGCAGUGAAAUGCGUAGAUAUGCGGAGGAACACCGAUGGCGAAGGCAAUCCCCUGGGCCUGCACUGACGCUCAUGCACGAAAGCGUGGGGAGCAAACAGG